rnacentral:RNase_MRP_RNA from 2 species
CGACUGCAAGAUGAUGUGAAUGGGUUGCGAUUUAUUCAGUGAGUAGGUCAAGCCCAGGAAAGUCCCCGGGCCGCUUAUCAGAGAUGCAAGCUUCGAAACGAGCUAAGCUUCACGGCUUGUGAGUUCCAAUCUCAUACGUGAUAUGGGCUGAGACGAGGUGGAGCCUAUGGAGUCCUGCCGGAAGCUAUAUUGGCCGAUAGUACAGUUAUUCACGUGGUCCAACUGGACUAACUGAACGGGGCUUACACGCUUGCAGUC